rnacentral:snRNA from 1 species
GGUAGUCUGCCCGUUCCAAGUUGAGUAGUGGACCGCUGGGGCCUAUGCGAGUUGGGCCUAUGCGAAAGUUGGGCUCACGGUCCAUAAUGUGGCAGGCACCGCGUGAGGCUGGCUUCACAGAGCAGCGACAACUGCCCGCUUCCAACGGUGGAAGGAUAACGGGCGCUGCACUCCUAGCCGCUUGGGCCUCGUAGCCUACUCCAGCAGACCACCAUCUUU